rnacentral:misc_RNA from 1 species
GAUGAAGAACGCAGCGAAAUGCGAUAAGUAAUGUGAAUUGCAGAAUUCCGUGAAUCAUCGAAUCUUUGAACGCACAUUGCGCCCCCUGGUAUUCCGGGGGGCAUGCCUGUCCGAGCGUCAUUGCAACCUUCAAGCGCGGCUUGUGUGUUGGGUCUCGUCCCCUGUGGACGGGCCCGAAAGGCAGUGGCGGCGUCCCGACAUGGUGCCCGAGCGUAUGGGAAUCCUCUUCCGCUCGAAUCGGCCCAUGCGGCGCUGGUCGUAACCAAAUUUUUUACCGGUUGACCUCGGAUCAGGUAGGGAUACCCGCUGAACUUAAGCAUAUCAAUAAGCGGAGGA